UACGUAGGGGGCAGCGUUGUCCGGAAUCGAUUGGCGUAAGCAGCGUGUAGGCGGCUAUUGCAAGUGGAAGGUGAAACUCCCUCGGCUUAACCGAGGAACUGCCCUCCAAACUGCGAAGGCUUGAGUGCAGGAAGAGGGAAAGUGGAAUUCCACGUGAUAGCGGUGAAAUGCGUAGAGAUGUGGAGGAACACCAGGUGGCGAAGGCGACUUUCUGGGCUGACUAACUGACGCUGGAGGCGACGAAAGCGUGGGGAGCAAACAGG
rnacentral:rRNA from 1 species